ACUGAUUAUUUACAUGGAGUCUGGUGGACAUAUGCUGCUCUAGACACGCUAUAAGUAGAGAUUAUUUACAUGGAGUCUGGUGGAGAUAUGCUGCUUUAGACACGCUAUAAGUAGUGAUUAUUUACAUGGAGUCUGGUGGAGAUAUGCUGCUCUAGACCCGCUAAAAGUAGAGAUUAUUUACAUGGAGUCUGGUGGAGAUAUGCUGCUCUAUACACGCUAAAAGUAGUGGUUAUUUACAUGGAGUCUGUUGGGUUUAACGAACGCAAUUUCGUGGAUGUUAUUGAGGUUAAAAAAAGGAUAGUA